CAAACAUGACUACUCCAAGAUUCAUUACCACACAAUGAUGGAUCUGAACAAGCUAAUGGUUUAUCUCACCUUUGAGCAGUAAGUAUUCAUCCUGGUUGCUGGCUGACACUGUCAUUGAUCCUGGACAAAUUCAACACCAAAUCUGGUUUCUAAAUAGAAUGACGGAUGGAUGAAAGUAUCACC